rnacentral:rRNA from 1 species
GAUGAACGCUGGCGGCGUGCCUAAUACAUGCAAGUCGAGCGAACAGACGAGGAGCUUGCUCCUCUGACGUUAGCGGCGGACGGGUGAGUAACACGUGGAUAACCUACCUAUAAGACUGGGAUAACUUCGGGAAACCGGAGCUAAUACCGGAUAAUAUAUUGAACCGCAUGGUUCAAUAGUGAAAGACGGUUUUGCUGUCACUUAUAGAUGGAUCCGCGCCGCAUUAGCUAGUUGGUAAGGUAACGGCUUACCAAGGCGACGAUGCGUAGCCGACCUGAGAGGGUGAUCCGCCACACUGGAACUGAGACACGGUCCAGACUCCUACGGGAGGCAGCAGUAGGGAAUCUUCCGCAAUGGGCGAAAGCCUGACGGAGCAACGCCGCGUGAGUGAUGAAGGUCUUCGGAUCGUAAAACUCUGUUAUUAGGGAAGAACAAAUGUGUAAGUAACUAUGCACGUCUUGACGGUACCUAAUCAGAAAGCCACGGCUAACUACGUG